GAUGAAGUACGUAGCGAAAUGCGAUAAGUAGUGUGAAUUGCAGAAUUCAGUGAAUCAUCGAAUCUUUGAACGCACAUUGCGCCCCUUGGUAUUCCAUGGGGCAUGCCUGUUCGAGCGUCAUUUGUACCUUCAAGCUUUGCUUGGUGUUGGGUGUUUGUCUCGCCUUUGCGUGUAGACUCGCCUUAAAAUAAUUGGCAGCCGGCGUAUUGAUUUCGGAGCGCAGUACAUCUCGCGCUUUGCACUCAUAACGACAGCGUCCAAAAGUACAUUUUACACUCUUGACCUCGGAUCAGGUAGGGAUACCCGCUGAACUUAAGCAUAUCAAUAAGCGGAGGA
rnacentral:misc_RNA from 1 species